GCCAGCGGCCGCCGCCAUCUUGGAUUCGGACAGGUAGAGUCAGGCUCUGUUGACAAUGAAGCUGGUGGCAGCCAUUUUGGAUGUGGGCACUGACAUUUCCAGGCGGGGGGGCUGCCCGCCAUCUUGGUUUAGGGCAUUAAGAAGGAUUCGACCCUAUUGACGCUCAAAGUUUGAAGGGCCGUUUGGGAUUCGGACACGAUGUUUUCCAAGGAGCCUGAUGUCUGCGACCGAUUAGGGCAGGCCCCGACUGCCUCUGAGGCCAUGAUCGGCCAUCUUGGAUGCUGUCACCAGAGCCCCUUGCUGGUUUCAUUGAUCGAUUCAGUGUGAGUAGGUCGGUUCUGUUCAGAUGCCUGAUGAGAAAGGAAGAUAGAUGCCUUCAAUGCUGAGUUUUUUCCAUCCUCCUUCCCAUCCUCUGUUGGAAGGAGGAAAGGACCAGCACAGCAUUGAGGAACCUCUGUUCUGAGGAGAUGACUACAUUGUUCAGCUAUAUUUGAGCGCAGCAUCCAGGAUCCAGCACAUCAAAAAAGUAAUUGGUUUACCUCCGCCAUUCUCAGAGCUGUGGCAGUGACUUCUGGAAGUGCAGCAGCUAUUGAAGAGGUCCAGAAUGCACUGCAUGUAGACAUUUUCUUCUGUCACAGUAGACACAAACCUUCCAUCCUGGGCUGAUUUGAUGAGAUUGAGUUAAACCACAGCGUCCCAGGCUCUGCUGCGUCUGCAUGAGAUAUGCAUACCACACCCGUCUCGCUGCACACCAGCCAUCCCCUCCUGAAGACACCCAUGGGGAAGCAGAAAAGUGAUGUCUGAAACCAUUAGACAGAAUCUGAUCCCAGGGUGAGCCAGGAUAGGAUUACAAUAGCCACUGUGAAACCACGCUGCAGCUGCCAUGCCAACACUUAAACUCUGUGUACUGCGAGCCACCAUCAUGUCAGAGAAGAUGCACCAAGCACAAGACCAAGAGUACAUGUGAGUCUUGCAUACCUGUCUGUGACAUUAUAGAGUAGCUACCCUGCUUUGUUGUCCCUCUGUUGUGGUACCCAUGGUGUGUUGGUUUGUCCACUGCCUAGAGGCUCUAGCAGUACCCCCCGUACAAGAUAGUUUAAGGGUGGGGGCAUCUGCAUCUUCUGGCUUUUUUUUGAGGUUCAUCCAGUUCAUUAAUGCUGUUUGAACAUAUUUUAAAUGUAGCUUAAUUUCCGGUGUGUAUUUGUUUCUAUCUUUUCCUUAGAGGAUCCAAAGAGAGUAAGCUGGGAGUAUUAAAGCAGAAUGGAACCAAAUUCAUCCACUGCAGUUGAUGGUUACACUAGGGUCUGAAUUUGGCCCAGUGCAUUUAACCACGUUCACCAUGUUCCUGUGAUACAAGAUCCAAAUCAUAUAAAAUAUUUUAAAACUGUAUGAUUUUAAACGUGUAGAUUUUGAGGUGCCUGGAAUGCUGUGGCAGGUAGGUGAUAUCAAAAUAAAAUAUAUUAAUAAUAUGGGGCCUAACUUUGAGGUCUGUUUUUUAUUCAUUCCGUAGGAUUUGACCUAUGUGUAUUAUCAUGUAUUCACAUGAUGGACUAACAAACUGGAUCAUCUUGAAUUUUCUCUUAUUCUCUACAGGUGGCCCAAUGAUCCUGUUUUCCCCCCACACCUUUAACCCUUCCAUUAUUAUUAAAGCCCUACACUACAGUGAUCUCGUUUCAGGCAGGGGGUGGGGCACUGGAUGGGACAAUUUUUGGAAGCUACAAGUGCUGCUCCUAAAGUAGUUUCUUAGCUUUUUAUUUUUUUAUUUUUUUUUCUGUCCCUUCUCAUUCACCCACCACAUUUUUUAAAAUGAUAUUAUUUGAGGGGGGAGGUAUGCUGAGAUAGAACUCUUAGAUUUCACCUGAAAGAAGGAAGAAGCUAUGAUCCAUCUAGUAGUAAAUAGUACUAGUGAAACUGCUGUUAGGAGAAAAACUUAAGGAGAGUUUUUUAGUUUAAAGACAAACAAUGAACAUUUCACUGACUUCAGUGUGGGCAGAGUUAGGCUAAAACUGAGUGCUUUUGCAAAUCUCAGCCACUAAGGGACCAUGGACCAAACAUGAGGUCAGACAUUAGGAAUCCUGAGUUCUAAUCCUUGCUAACUUGAUGCAUGGCUAUAAGCAGGUUUAAACCUCCUCCUGCCUCAAAUUUCCCCAACUGCAAAAGAGGGCUAAUACUUAAAAGCCUCUCUCACAGGGAUAUUGGAAGUAUAAAUAUUUGUACACAGCGUUGAAACUAAUAAUUACUAAGUAUUUUCAUUAGGGACUUGUUCAUAAACACGCUUUGUAGUCACUGAGGAUCCUGCAUUCUUCAUGCAAAUUACAUCACCUCAAAGAAAAUACUGUAAGCAAUUGUUAGAAAUGGCUAAGUUAUUUGAGGUGGAUGAUGGCAUAAGUGUGUAAUUAAUGGACUGUUUAGUCAAAAACUGUAAUAGUACCCUAAGUGGAUACAAAGAUACCAUCUUCUAAAGAGAUGGGUUCAUGCAAUUAUGAAAUGUUGUAGCAAUAUUUUUGUCUUCUCCUCUUUUCUGUGCUACCAAUUAUUAGGGCAGUCAGAAUUACUUGUGAGGUAAAGACUGAAAGGGUGUCCUUUGAUUUCUGUUCUUGCAAAAUAUAUUUUCCAUAGGUAAUAUCUUUUAAAUUGAGCAACCCAUCCCCUACUGGGAGGUGACAGCCUAAAAAUUUAAAAUAUUUUCCUUAGCUGACAAUUAAGCUAUCUGAGCAAAUAUGAUUUCCCCCCCCCCCCCCCCCCAACCAUGAUAGCUUUUAUUCUAAAAUUUCAGAGGUUGGGACAACUCUUUUCAUAUUUUGUGUCUGAUAAUUAUCAGGACCACCUACCAGUACAUUUUUCUCUUUCGCUCUGACACAUAUAGCUAGAAGAGCAUCAUGAUAUCACAGUACUGGCAGUAAGAAAACAUGCUCUCCUUGAAGAAGCAUACUCUCUGUGAAGUAUAAUAUGGAUGAUGCUGCAAAUGCAUCAUAUGGCGCAUUGUGUCAAGAACAAUGGAUUUAGUUACUUCUAAUUGUCCUGUAAAAUUAUAAUUUCAUUUUUUUUAAAAGGUCUCUAAGAAUGAGUGCUAAAACCUGAACCUGUUAAGCUACCUCAUUUUCUUCUUUUCCUCCUUUUUGCAUGUAGAUAAAUCAGUAGCUGGAGGUCUAAAUGAUUUGGAGGAUUCCUGGAAGAGGUGAAAACCUAAGUUACAGUGUUCAAAUCUGACCCAGCAAUGACUGAAAGUUGGUACUUUCUGACAGCUAGUCAGUAAGGCUUACAGGCCGGGAAGUGAAUGGAGGAUGCUUGCUGUAACUUUAAUGUGAAUAAAGGACUUCAGUUUCCUGAUCUGACAUCUCCUGCGAACACUCAAAUUGAUAAAGAUGAAAUUAAGUAUACUUGUGUGAACACUUAUUUCUUAUGGUCUCAUUGCUGUCAUUUACCUUGUCAUCCUCAGACUUCUCAUUGACAUCAACUGGAGUAGUGCAACAGAACUAUUAUUCCAUGUAACAAAAAAAUUAAA